CGAUUACAGAAAACUGAGGAAGCCCCGGACCGCCUCCGCGCGCGCUCCCGGUCUGCGCACACCGCUCGUGCACGUGCGCCGCAUUGGUGAGAGAAGUAGCCUACGCGAGGCUAAAGCAAUAAAGGGCCUAAUGACUUCUGACCUCUGGACAUCUGGGUGACGAACUGAGCAGGCUGCGAUAAUCAGCAGAGCUGUUCAGCCCCUGACUCUGCUGCUGGGAGCUGAGAAGACUUGAUGAGGACGCGAUAAAGAGAUUCUAAAUAUAAAAAACCUGGCAUUUCUUUAUUCAGAGCUGAAGCUGAAUAAAGAAAGUUGGAAACCACUAGUUGUGUAUUUAGCCUGUCUGUAGCUGGAUCUAUUGGGAUCAUAAAAUAUUCUUGAGUUUCUUUGUUAAAUCUUGUAAAACUGAUCGUGGUAAGUUCUGAGUUUGAGUCUCUCAGUGUGCCGUGACAAAAUUGUGCUUCAUGCCAACCCAAAUUUGAACGUUGGGGUUAAAGCCUCAGUCAUGCAGGCCUAGAAAGGGGUGGGUGUACUGAAUACUCCUGGACUGGUUGGUGCUUGGUGAGUCAUUGCUGGAUGUUGUUCAUCAGAUGAAAACACCCCAAAAAUAUUGCUGCACUAAAAACUUCCUUACGAUUACUUUGAUCUUUAGCAGGUUGCAGUGGAUGCCGUUAGACGAUGCAUAGAUGAUGGCAUCUUUUCUGCAAACACUUGCAGAAAAGAGCUUGAAACCUUUAGAUUAAAAGGCCUGCUUUACUGCUGCAAUCAACAUAUUUCAAGAAGCGUAAUGUUUACUUUGAAUAUAAAUAGUCUUUGUUUUUCAGCACCUCUCAGUUUCACUACCUUUUGGGCGAGUGUUUGCAGAAAAGUCGGCGUCUUCCAUGCAAACUACUGGUGACUGCAGCAACCUGCUUACAACAAAACAGUCACAGGGAGACUUUUGGUGCAGCACUAUACCCGACUACCCGACCUUCCAACUGUCACCAACCAGUUACCAGCUGGUCAGAAUACACGUUUUUCCCUUGUGACGUGUGGGUGCCACGGGGUCGCCCACAGGUCUCUUGGACCUCAGUGAGUCUGUGUGACUCACUAAGGUCCACGUUAUCAUUGGUGUUCUCCCUAAACCUAAACUAUCAAACCAUUUUGUUCUUUUUAAGAAAAAAAAAAUAAUUCUUCAGCCUUGGCAAUCAGGUGAUUCCAACACAUCAUUUUUCCAAAAGUUUUUUUUUUUUUUUUGCUUAUCUGCUUGUCAAUUUUCAUUUUCUCUAGUACAAAAACUGCAUAUAGUACUAUUAUGUGGUUUUAUAUUAUGCAUUAUAUUACAGUAUAUAGUACAGUGUGUUUCACAGAGAUGCUGCUGCACAUCUGGCUUGGGGACUUUUAGAGAGACAGGGAUGAUGAUCUGAGUCUGACACUGAGGUCAUCAAAACAACUGCAGCUGUGGUGAAUAUGGACACCCACAGCAAGCAAGAGGAAACUGUUUCUAUGAUCUGUUUCAGCUCUGCUGUCAUAAGGAAAGACACAGAAACAGUUUACCACCUCAUAUGAUUUCUCUCCUUCCCUGAUUAAGGCUUCUGUGGUUGUUUUUUAGGCUAAAUUUAAAGAGAUAAGAAUAAAGGAAUUCCACUGGUUAUUUGGAAAAAGACAGCAUUUGAGGUUUUUUAUAUUUUAACUGCAUACGGAUGAUUGAAUGAAUGAUCUUUAUUAUCAAUAAACAUAAUAAAAAGGCUUUCCCUUUGAAUAAAAACAAUAAGUAAAUGGAAUGAAUAAAAACAACCAACAGAGGGAAAACAGCAGCAUUAUGCACAUAUCAUAUGUCUUUGUAUUGAAGUCUUAAAUAAUACAAGGUCUUAAAUAAUCAGGCCCCAUCUUAUCUUAAUGACCUUGUAGUACCAUAUCACCCUAUUAGAGCACUUCGCUCUCGCACUGCAG